GUAGGUGAACCUGCGGAAGGAUCAUUAAAUAUCGGUAGUUUUACUGCCGUUUGAAGGGGGUGGAAACUUUCUAGGCCUGCCUAGGGACGAGUACAUCCUGUUCUUAACCCUUGACUUUUUGCGCACUCAUGUUUCCUUGGUGGGCUUGCCCGCCAAAAGGAUAAUUUAAUAACCUCUUUAAUUUUCAAUCAGCGUCUGAAUUAUUUUAAUAAUUACAACUUUCAACAACGGAUCUCUUGGUUCUGGCAUC
rnacentral:misc_RNA from 1 species